rnacentral:rRNA from 1 species
GAUGAACGCUGGCGGCGUGCCUAAUACAUGCAAGUCGAGCGAAGCGGGGACGGGUGAGUAACACGUGGAUAACCUCCUAUAAGACUGGGAUAACUUCGGGAAACCGGAGCUAAACCGGAUACUUCAACAUGGACCCGCGCUGCAUAAGCUAGUUGGUAAGGUAACGGCUUACCAAGCCAACGAUGCAUAGCCGACCUAAGAGGUUGAUCGGCCACACUGGAACUGAGACACGGUCCAGACUCCUACGGGAGGCAGCCGUAGGGAAGCUUCCGCAAUGGGCGAAAGCCUGCCGGAGCAACGCCGCGUGGGUGAUGAAGGUCUUCGGAUCGGAAACCUCUGUUAUUAGGGAAGCGGUACCUAAUCAGAAAGCCACGGCUAACUACGUGCCAGCAGCCGCGGUAAUAC